AGGAAAGAAGGAAGGACAAACUAAUACAGACAGAGAGGGAGUGUCUAUCAUUCGGGUCUUCUCAAAGCAGAAGUACAAGUCACUGAGAGAUGGGAAGGGGAGACAAAAUAUUUUGAAAACAACUGGACGGAUUUUCUUUGAA